rnacentral:rRNA from 1 species
AACGGUCAAAUCGUUACAAAAACUUCCAGACUAGAGAAUGAUAGAGGCAACUGGAAUUCUGCAUGUAGGGGUAAAAUCCGUUGAUAUGCGGAAGAACACCAAAAGCGAAGGCAGGUUGCUGGGUCAUUUCUGACGCUGUUGCACGAAAGCGUGGGGAGCAAACAGGAUUAGAUACCCUGGUAGUCCACGCUGUAAACCAUGGACACUCGGUGUGAGGAGGACUCGACCCCUCCUUGUGCUUAAGCUAACGCGUUAAGUGUCCCGCCUGGGGAGUACGGCCGCAAGGUUAAAACUCAAAGGAAUAGACGGGGACCCACACAAGCGGUGGAGCAUGUGGUUUAAUUCGACGAUAAACGAGGAACCUUACCAAGACUUGACAUCUCCGGAACUCUGAAGAAAUUCAGGGGUGCCGCAAGGAACCGGAUGACAGGUGCUGCAUGGUCGUCGUCAGCUCGUGCCUUGAGGUGUUCGGUUAAGUCCGUAAACGAGCGCAACCCAUGUCCUAUGUUGCAUUUUCAUAGGAGACUGCCGGCUUUAAGUCGGAGGAAGAUAUGGAUGACGUCAGAUCAGCAUGGCCUUUAUGUCUUGGGCCACACACGUGCUACAAUGGCCGAUACAAUGGGCAGCCAACCCGCAAGGGGGAGCCAAUCCCAACAAAAUCGGUCUCAGUUCAGAUUGAGGGCUGCAACUCGUCCUCAUGAAGUUGGAAUCGCUAGUAACCGCGAAUCAGCUAUGUCGCGGUGAAUAUGUUCCUGGGUCUUGUACUCACCGCCCGUCAAUUCAUGAAAGGUGGGAGUA